AACGAACGCUGGCGGCAUGCCUAACACAUGCAAGUCGAACGAGACCUUCGGGUCUAGUGGCGCACGGGUGCGUAACGCGUGGGAACCUGCCCUUAGGUUCGGAAUAACUCAGAGAAAUUUGAGCUAAUACCGGAUAAUGUCUUCCGACCAAAGAUUUAUCGCCUUUGGAUGGGCCCGCGUAGGAUUAGCUUGUUGGUGGGGUAAUGGCCUACCAAGGCGACGAUCCUUAGCUGGUCUGAGAGGAUGAUCAGCCACACUGGGACUGAGACACGGCCCAGACUCCUACGGGAGGCAGCAGUGGGGAAUAUUGGACAAUGGGCGAAAGCCUGAUCCAGCAAUGCCGCGUGAGUGAUGAAGGCCUUAGGGUUGUAAAGCUCUUUUACCAGGGAUGAUAAUGACAGUACCUGGAGAAUAAGCGCCGGCUAACUCCGUG
rnacentral:rRNA from 1 species